rnacentral:lncRNA from 10 species
UGAAUAUUAAUAAUCACAUUUUCUUACUCAGAGAUGUCCAGAUAUGGAAAGAGAAUGUCUUUACUUUGGUUUAAUCAGAUACAAGGACAAGUAGACUUGUGGAUACUGCCCACUUUUGUAAGUGAUCUGAACAGCAAGCUUUGAAGAGCUGAUAGACUGGCAUUUCCUCAAAAGGUUGUGACGUCUAUUUUAGAAUUGAGGAACAGAGGAUCAGGAGCUUAAAUAACUCACUUAACAUAAAACAUGGAGUCAACUAAGGCUUCCAUUUAACUAGGCUAUCAAACACAAAGCCCUCAUUCUUACAAUACUCUUCUAAUGAUAGUUCCAUCUUUAUGAACAUUCCAGGAUCUCUACAUACAGUGUGAAAAAAAUAAGAGAAGAAAUGGAAGCCUAGAGGCAAGAUGACAGAAGAAACUGUAGUGUUAAUCCAGAUAAGACAUUGAAGAGCUAAACCAGGAUUUUGGUAAGACAGAUGGAGAGAUGUGAAUGGAUCUGAAUGCUACCAAGAAGGUCAAAUUCAACGGUGCUUACAGGCAUACCUUGGAAACAUUGCAGAUUUAGUUCUAGAACACCACAGUAAAGCAAAUAUUGCAAGAAAAUGAAUCACAUGAAUUUUGGGUUUCCCAGCGCACAUAAAAGUUAUGUUUACACUAUACUAUAGUCUAAGUGUGUAAUAGCAUUAUGUAUUUUAAAAGUACAUGCCUUAAUUAAAAAAUAUUUUAUUGCUAGAAAAGAGAGGCCUGAGGAGAAGGAGAGAGAUGGAGAACAGCAUGUUGGUGGAGGAGUCAGCAUACAAAGUUUAUAGAUUAAGUUUGUCAUCCU